AACCGCCGUAACUGCCGCGCCCGGGGGAGGCCCGGAGCUACACGCUCCAGGCUGGGGCCCGGCCCUCCCGGCCUUAGUUUCUUCCCUUCCCUCAGUGGCCUGGACCAGGGCGGAGGGGUGGAAACGACCUACCCCAGAGACGGAGGGAAGACUAGGAUGAUACCUGGACGGCAGGGUCUGGCUCUCUUACCCAGGCUGGAGUGCCCUGGCACAAUCUCAGCUCACUGCAUCCUCCGCCUCCUCGGCUCAAGCCAUCUCCCACCUCCGCCUCCCAAGUACCAGGGACCACAGGCACACACCAGCAUGCCUGGCUAAUGUUCAUAAUUUUUUUUUUUUUUUUUUGUAGAGAUAGGGUUUUGUCAUGUUGCCCAGGCUGGUCUUGAACUCCUGGGCUCAAGUGAUCUAUCAGCCUCAGCCUUCUGAAGUGCUGAGAUUAUAGGCAUGAGCCACCAUGCCUGGCCUAUUUCAGUUUCUAUAGUUCAGAAGUCUGAGCAUGGCUGAGUUAGAUUCUCUGCUCAGGGUUUCACAAGGCCAAAAUCAAGGUGUUGAUUGGGCUGCAAUCACUUCUGGAGCUUGGGGUCUUCUAUCAAGUUCACGUGGUUUUUGGCAGAAUUUAGUUCUUUGUGGUUGUAGGGCCGGGCCUGCAGUUCUCUUGCUGGCUGUUAGCCAGCAGUGCUCAAAGCUCCUGGAGGCCCCUGCGGUUCCUUGCCAUGCCCUUGCACACUUCCAAGCUCUUUCAUCAGAGGAAGCCAGGCACUUUAUGGCCUCACCUUAUCAGAUCAGGCCCACUGAGGAUAAUCUCCUAUGUUCAGGUCAGCUGAUUUGGGACAUUUUUUUUAAAUCUAAAAAAUUUCAAUUUCGUCUAUAAAAUCUCUUCAGAGUGGCACCUACAUUAGCCUUUGACUGAAUAACUAGGAAAAAUGUGUAUGCCAGGGUUCAAGAAUCUUUGGGAGCCAUCUCAGAAUUCUGCCUACCAUGAUGCAUAAUAAUCAUUUGAACUCAAUAAAUUAUAUUUAAAACUA
rnacentral:lncRNA from 1 species